GACGAACGCUGGCGGCGUGCUUAACACAUGCAAGUCGAACGGAAAGGCCCUGCUUGCAGGGUACUCGAGUGGCGAACGGGUGAGUAACACGUGGGUGAUCUGCCCUGCACUUCGGGAUAGGCUUGGGAAACUGGGUCUAAUACCAUAUAGGACCGCAUCUUGGAUGGUGUGGUGGAAAGCUUUUGCGGUGUGGGAUGAGCCUGCGGCCUAUCAGCUUGUUGGUGGGUAAUGGCCUACCAAGGCGGCGACGGGUAUCCGGCCUGAGAGGGUGUACGGACACAUUGGGACUGAGAUACGGCCCAG
rnacentral:rRNA from 1 species